GUCGCGCCACACACACGCAGAGUAGGUGAAGGGCACCCUAAGACAACUUAUUUCUUUCCCGCCUCACAGAAAGCCUUUACGAAAUCCUCACACCAUCUCCGGACGCAAAGCUUUCGCAUUCAGCUUGAGGAGCUAAACCAUUUCAAGCCAAGACCUCUCUCCUUGAAGACAAAGUGUUGAUAUCAACUCCACCUUCAAGUCUCUCAAGCAGAACUAGAUGCUGUUUCUUCAAUGUUUCCACAUCUUCUUGUUCACAUGUGUCUAAGCCUGCUUUGACAGCCCUGUUCAGACUCCAUUAAUCAUAGAAUGUGAUGACUUCCCUACUUUUCGAUUUUUAAGAUGCUUCAAGGGAAAUCUGUCUCCCCAGACACUUGCGUACUACAUUGUAAGCCAUUUUUACUAUGAAGAAGAUUGUAAGCUCAAUUACGGGCUUUACUGCGCUGAUAACGAACACAGAUAUGAGACAAGCAGACUUGAGCUCCUGCCUCGAGGAUGGUGAGCAAAGAGCCUAAGCAAAACUGAGAGGAAAUGAAACACAAAGAGGAAACAGAAAGGGUCUCUCUUUGUCACGCAGGUUGGAGUGCAGUGGUAUGAUCACUGACUGCAGGCUUGAUCUCCUGGGCUCAAAUGAUUCUCCCACCUCAGCCUCCUGAGUAGCCAGGACUUCAGGCAUGCAUCACCACAUCUGGCUAAUUUUUGUAUUUUUUGUAGAGAUGGGAUUUUGCCAUGUUGUCCGGGCUGGUCUUGAACUGCUGAGCUCAAGCAAUCUGCUUGCCUCGGCCUCCUAAAGUGCUGGGAUUACAGGCAUGAGCCACCAGGCCCAGUC
rnacentral:lncRNA from 10 species